UACAGAGGGGGCGAGCGUUGUUCGGAAUUACUGGGCGUAAAGGGCGCGUAGGCGGCCUUCUAAGUCGAACGUGAAAUCCCCGGGCUCAACCCGGGAACUGCGUCCGAUACUGGGAGGCUUGAAUCCGGGAGAGGGAUGUGGAAUUCCGAGUGUAGAGGUGAAAUUCGUAGAUAUUCGGAAGAACACCAGUGGCGAAGGCGAGUCCCUGGACAACUCCUGACACUGAGGCACGAAAGCUAGGGGAGCAAACAGG
rnacentral:rRNA from 1 species